rnacentral:rRNA from 1 species
AGUCGAACGAUGAAGCCCAGCUUGCUGGGUGGAUUAGUGGCGAACGGGUGAGUAACACGUGAGUAACCUGCCCUUGACUCUGGGAUAAGCGCUGGAAACGGCGUCUAAUACCGGAUACGACCUGCCCCGGCAUCGGGUGCGGGUGGAAAGUUUUUCGGUCAAGGAUGGACUCGCGGCCUAUCAGCUAGUUGGUGAGGUAAUGGCUCACCAAGGCGACGACGGGUAGCCGGCCUGAGAGGGUGACCGGCCACACUGGGACUGAGACACGGCCCAGACUCCUACGGGAGGCAGCAGUGGGGAAUAUUGCACAAUGGGCGAAAGCCUGAUGCAGCAACGCCGCGUGGGGGAUGACGGCCUUCGGGUUGUAAACCUCUUUUAGUAGGGAAGAAGGGCUUCGGCUUGACGGUACCUGCAGAAAAAGCACCGGCUAACUACGUGCCAGCAGCCGCGGUAAUACGUAGGGUGCAAGCGUUGUCCGGAAUUAUUGGGCGUAAAGAGCUCGUAGGCGGUUUGUCGCGUCUGCUGUGAAAACCCGAGGCUCAACCUCGGGCCUGCAGUGGGUACGGGCAGACUAGAGUGCGGUAGGGGAGAAUGGAAUUCCUGGUGUAGCGGUGGAAUGCGCAGAUAUCAGGAGGAACACCGAUGGCGAAGGCAGUUCUCUGGGCCGUUACUGACGCUGAGGAGCGAAAGCGUGGGGAGCGAACAGGAUUAGAUACCCUGGUAGUCCACGCCGUAAACGUUGGGAACUAGAUGUGGGGACCUUUCCACGGUCUCCGUGUCGCAGCUAACGCAUUAAGUUCCCCGCCUGGGGAGUACGGNCGCAAGGCUNAAACUCAAAGGAAUUGACGGGGGCCCGCACAAGCGGCGGAGCAUGCGGAUUAAUUCGAUGCAACGCGAAGAACCUUACNAAGGCUUGACAUAUACCCGGAAACUU